GAAGGUUCUGAGAACUGGAAAAGCUGUCUGGCUUGGUGUCCCAAGGAUGGACCCUGCUGUCCCUGCUGCUGACCCUGCAGCUGCUCCUGCUGCUGCUCCUGCUGCUGUCCCUGCUGCUGCCCCUGCAGCUGCUCCUGCUGCUGCCCCUGAUGCUGUCCCUGAUGCUGCCCCUGAUGCUGUCCCUGAUGCUGCCCCUGAUGCUGCCCCCCAUGGCCAGGACCUGGCCCAAGCCCCUGCCCUAGCACAAAUCAAUGGACGAGAAGGUGCUGAGAAUGAACGAGAAGCUUAUCUUUGGAGACCCUGGCUGUCCUCUAUAAAUGACCAGCCAAGGCAGGCUAGGAGCCUGGUGGACUGGGCUGCUGGUGAGGCAACAGCUGCUGAGGCCAAGGCUGACUCAGAGUUCCACCACCCUGUCAGG
rnacentral:lncRNA from 1 species